UCGGGAAUUUUGGGCAAUGGGCGAAAGCCUGACCAGCAACGCCGCGUGAGGGAUGCAGUAUUUCGGUAUGUAAACCUCGAAAGAAUGGGAAGAAUAAAUGACGGUACCAUUUACAAGCUCCGGCUAACUACGUGCCAGCAGCCGCGGUAAUACGUAGGGAGCAAGCGUUGUUCGGAUUUACUGGGCGUAAAGGGCGCGUAGGCGGCUCGGUAAGUCACUUGUGAAAUCUCUGAGCUUAACUCAGAACGGCCAAGUGAUACUGCUGUGCUAGAGUGCGGAAGAGGCAACCGGAAUUCUUGGUGUAGCGGUGAAAUGCGUAGAUAUCAAGAGGAACACCUGAGGCGAAGGCGGGUUGCUGGGCCGACACCGAGGCUGAUGCGCGAAAGCCAGGGG
rnacentral:rRNA from 1 species